rnacentral:rRNA from 1 species
GAUGAACGCUGGCGGCGUGCCUAAUACAUGCAAGUCGAGCGAACAGACGAGGAGCUUGCUCCUCUGACGUUAGCGGCGGACGGGUGAGUAACACGUGGAUAACCUACCUAUAAGACUGGGAUAACUUCGGGAAACCGGAGCUAAUACCGGAUAAUAUAUUGAACCGCAUGGUUCAAUAGUGAAAGACGGUUUUGCUGUCACUUAUAGAUGGAUCCGCGCCGCAUUAGCUAGUUGGUAAGGUAACGGCUUACCAAGGCAACGAUGCGUAGCCGACCUGAGAGGGUGAUCGGCCACACUGGAACUGAGACACGGUCCAGACGCCUACGGGAGGCAGCAGUAGGGAAUCUUCCGCAAUGGGCGAAAGCCUGACGGAGCAACGCCGCGUGAGUGAUGAAGGCCUUCGGAUCGUAAAACUCUGUUAUUAGGGAAGAACAAAUGUGUAAGUAACUAUGCACGUCUUGACGGUACCUAAUCAGAAAGCCACGGCUAACUACGUG